UUAGAGUUUGAUCCAUGGCUCAGAUUGAACGCUGGCGGCAGGCCUAACACAUGCAAGUCGAGCGGAAACGAUGGAAGCUUGCUUCCAGGCGUCGAGCGGCGGACGGGUGAGUAAUGCAUAGGAAUCUGCCCGAUAGUGGGGGAUAACCUGGGGAAACUCAGGCUAAUACCGCAUACGUCCUACGGGAGAAAGCAGGGGAUCUUCGGACCUUGCGCUAUCGGAUGAGCCUAUGUCGGAUUAGCUGGUUGGUGAGGUAACGGCUCACCAAGGCGACGAUCCGUAGCUGGUCUGAGAGGAUGAUCAGGCACAUCGGGACUGAGACACGGCCCGAACUCCUACGGGAGGCAGCAGUGGGGAAUAUUGGACAAUGGGGGCAACCCUGAUCCCUGCCAUGCCGCGUGUGUGAAGAAGGCUUUCGGGUUGUAAAGCACUUUCAGUGGGGAAGAAGGCAUUGGGGCUAAUACCCUCGAGGAAGGACAUCACCCACAGAAGAAGCACCGCAA
rnacentral:rRNA from 1 species